rnacentral:rRNA from 1 species
GAUGAACGCUGGCGGCGUGCCUAAUACAUGCAAGUCGAGCGAACAGACGAGGAGCUUGCUCCUCUGACGUUAGCGGCGGACGGGUGAGUAACACGUGGAUAACCUACCUAUAAGACUGGGAUAACUUCGGGAAACCGGAGCUAAUACCGGAUAAUAUAUUGAACCGCAUGGUUCAAUAGUGAAAGACGGUUUUGCUGUCACUUAUAGAUGGAUCCGCGCCGCAUUAGCUAGUUGGUAAGGUAACGGCUUACCAAGGCAACGAUGCGUAGCCGACCUGAGAGGGUGAUCGGCCACACUGGAACUGAGCCACGGUCCACACUCCUACGGGAGGCAGCAGUAGGCACUCUUCCGCAAUGGGCGAAAGCUUGACGGAGCAACGCAGCGUUAGUGAUGAAGGUCUUCGGAUCGUAAAACUCUGUUAUUAGGGAAGAACAAAUGUGUAAGUAACUAUGCACGUCUUGACGGUACCUAAUCAGAAAGCCACGGCUAACUACGUG